rnacentral:tRNA from 1 species
GCCGGUGUGGCUCAGUGGUUGAGCAUCGGCCUGUGAAGCAGGAGGUCACGGUUUGAUUCCCGUCAGGGCA